CCGCCGGUACCUCAGUGGAUAGAGGGCCCGUUCUCGCAGCGGGAAGUCGGAUGUUCGACUCAUCCCCGGCGGU
rnacentral:tRNA from 1 species